AGCGAACGCUGGCGGCAGGCCUAACACAUGCAAGUCGAACGAACCUUUCGGGGUUAGUGGCGGACGGGUGAGUAACACGUGGGAACGUGCCUUUAGGUUCGGAAUAACUCAGGGAAACUUGUGCUAAUACCGAAUGUGCCCUUCGGGGGAAAGAUUAAUCGCCUUUAGAGCGGCCCGCGUCUGAUUAGCUAGUUGGUUGAGGUAAUGGCUCACCAAGGCGACGAUCAGUAGCUGGUCUGAGAGGAUGAUCAGCCACAUUGGGACUGAAACACGGCCCAAACUCCUACGGGAGGCAGCAGUGGGGAAUCUUGCGCAAGGGGCGAAAGCCUGACGCAGCCAUGCCGGGUGAAUGAUGAAGGUCUUAGGAUUGUAAAAUUCUUUCACCGGGGACGAUAAUGACGGUACCCGGAGAAGAAGCCCCGGCUAACUUCGUG
rnacentral:rRNA from 1 species